UUGUACAUAUCCAUGCCAAUGUGUAUCCAUAUUGUGCUUAUCUAUGCUAAUAUGUAUCCACAUUGUACUUAUCCAUACUACUAUGUAUCCAUUGUAUCAGGGUUUAUGUUUAUGGAGACACUGAGCCUACUGGGAAAUACUGGGACAAACUAAAGAAAGAAAAAGUCACAUUUGUCCACAUAGAUAGUAUUACCUCAAUAUUUCAGCAGCAAAUCAAGGAAAGGGUGCAUAAAAAAGAAGUUUUAAAAGCUUUGGUUCUACAUAAAUUUGGAGGAGUAUAUAAUGAUAACGACGUGCUUUGGAUGAAGCCGAUUUCUGAAGAUCUCCGAGGGUACCCGACCGUAGCUAGCCUGGAACUGUCAGGUGAAGCAGAGUUUUCUAGAGUGGUCAGCAGCCGCGUCCUCGUCUCCAAACCCAAGGCUCCAUUUUUUACUCACGUACU